rnacentral:rRNA from 1 species
UCUAAGUUUGAUGGCGACCGGCGCACGGGUGAGUAACACGUAUCCAACCUGCCGAUGACUCGGGGAUAGCCUUUCGAAAGAAAGAUUAAUACCCGAUGGCAUAGUUCUUCCGCAUGGUGGAACUAUUAAAGAAUUUCGGUCAUCGAUGGGGAUGCGUUCCAUUAGGCAGUUGGUGGGGUAACGGCCCACCAAACCUUCGAUGGAUAGGGGUUCUGAGAGGAAGGUCCCCCACAUUGGAACUGAGACACGGUCCAAACUCCUACGGGAGGCAGCAUG